rnacentral:ncRNA from 1 species
GAGUAGACGUGGAAGAGGAGUAGUAAUGAUCGAAGGAAGUGAAGAGAGACAGCGGUUGCUGAGAGCUGUACUUCCCGCGUUCAUGAACUCGCCUUGGAUGUUGCAAAAGGGAUAAUCUUUUGCCGGGGGACCUCCGUUAUCGGGGUGAAGUGAGCGUGGAAAUCGCUAAUUUGGGUGGUACCGCGAGAUGCAGCCUCUCGUCCCGUAG